GCGAAAGUGGCGGAAUUGGUAGACGCGCUAGGUUGAGGGCCUAGUGUCCGGUUAGGACGUGGGGGUUCGACUCCCCCCUUUCGCA
rnacentral:tRNA from 1 species